CGGCUGUUUCGCUACGGUCAAACCGCGGACAAAAUUAAAAUGGCUUCCACAAUUUUUUUUGAAAUUUUGUAUUUUUAUCAUUUUUUAAGUUUUUGAAACUUUUUUUGUAUUGUUUUAAUUUUACUGAAAUAAAAAGUAUUAAAACGACCUACUUUUCUUCUUUUUUAAUAUAUAAAUAUGUUAUACAUGUGUGUUAUGGAUUUCGAGUUAUUUCGUCGAAUAAAACACACAAAAUUAAAAAAAACAGUAUUUUUGGCGAAAGUAUACCAUCUUUCCAACCUCGUGGCAACGCCGCGCUACUAGCUACGGACUUGAAAAUUGGUAUGGGGGGCCUGGAAACAUGGUUCUAUUGGCCGGUACCGUGCACCGUUCGUCUCGCAAACUAUAAACUACUUAAAUUUUAAGUUAAAGUCUUCUUUAGGCGCUAAAAAAGAGGAGAAAAAGUUGCCAAAGUGGUGCACGGCGAUUUGAUGUAGUGUGAUCCCUUUUCUGUCUAAUUAAAUAAUUAUCUAAACUUCUAAGAGAGUCAUAGCGAUGCCAUUUAAUGUUUUGUUAGGUAUGGUUUUUCUCAAAAAAAUUACGGCGGCGUGGUGUUUACCUUGGACUUGAUUGCUCGACCCGGGAAUCCUGGUUCGAAACCGGAAUUUUUCGAAAAUGUUGGAAUAAGCGAGACAACGGUGUCUUUGCAAUUUUUUAGCUAGCUAAAGUUUGGCAGAGCACGAGUUAAGACUUUGGUGGGCUUUCUCAAGAUGAAAUUGUUAAAAUCAAAGAUGUUUUUAGCUACCUAGCUAGCUAAUCUUGGCUUUAACACAAGAUUGGGUGCUAUUUUAUACAGUUUAUAAAGAAACACAAAAUGAUUGCUUUGUAUAUAUAUAAUAAAUAAAAUAUUUAUGCACAACUUGAGGUAUUUUCUUCUAGCAUGAUAAACUAAAAUGUUGAAACCGUCGACUCUGAAUGAUGUUUUAUUUAAUAUAUAGAUGUCACAUAUUUGGCCCGAAAAACCUUAGGACCAAAAGUGACCCUUUGGACAAUUUCGGACAGACUAAUAUUUCAUCUACAUCAUCCUUAAUGGUCUUAGAAUCCAAAGCAAUGUUUUUUAUUCAGUUAAUAAAUAAA